rnacentral:rRNA from 1 species
CUUUGGGAUAACCCUCGGAAACGGGGGCUAAUACCGGAUAUGACCUGGCUCCGCAUGGGGUUGGGUGGAAAGUUUUUCGGCCUGGGAUGGGCUCGCGGCCUAUCAGCUUGUUGGUGGGGUGAUGGCCUACCAAGGCGACGACGGGUAGCCGGCCUGAGAGGGCGACCGGCCACACUGGGGCUGAGACACGGCCCAGACUCCUAUGGGAGGCAGCAGUGGGGAGUAUUGCACAAUGGGCGGAAGCCUGAUGCAGCGACGUCGCGUGAGGGAUGACGGCCUUCGGGUUGUAAACCUCUUUCAGCAGGGACGAAGCGUGAGUGACGGUACCUGCAGAAGAAGCGCCGGCCAACUACGUGCCAGCAGCCGCGGUAAGACGUAGGGCGCGAGCGUUGUCCGGAUUUAUUGGGCGUAAAGAGCUCGUAGGCGGCUCGUCGCGUCGACCGUGAAAACUUGGGGCUCAACCCCAAGCCUGCGGCCGAUACGGGCAGGCUAGAGUUCGGUAGGGGAGACUGGAAUUCCUGGUGUAGCGGUGAAAUGCGCAGAUAUCAGGAGGAACACCGGUGGCGAAGGCGGGUCUCUGGGCCGAUACUGACGCUGAGGAGCGAAAGCGUGGGGAGCGAACAGGAUUAGAUACCCUGGUAGUCCACGCUGUAAACGUUGGGCGC